rnacentral:misc_RNA from 1 species
GAUGAAGAACGCAGCGAAAUGCGAUAAGUAAUGUGAAUUGCAGAAUUCAGUGAAUCAUCAAGUCUUUGAACGCACAUUGCGCCCCCUGGUAUUCCGGGGGGCAUGCCUGUCCGAGCGUCAUUGCUGCCCUCAAGCACGGCUUGUGUGUUGGGCCCCCGUCCCCGGUUUCCCCCGGGGACGGGCCCGAAAGGCAGCGGCGGCACCGCGUCCGGUCCUCGAGCGUAUGGGGCUUUGUCACCCGCUCUGUAGGCCCGGCCGGCGCCAGCCGACACCCAACUUUAUUUCUAAGGUUGACCUCGGAUCAGGUAGGGAUACCCGCUGAACUUAAGCAUAUCAAUAAGCGGAGGA